UGGGGAAUAUUGCACAAUGGGGGAAACCCUGAUGCAGCGACGCCGCGUGAGUGAAGAAGUAUUUCGGUAUGUAAAGCUCUAUCAGCAGGGAAGAAAAUGACGGUACCUGACUAAGAAGCCCCGGCUAACUACGUGCCAGCAGCCGCGGUAAUACGUAGGGGGCAAGCGUUAUCCGGAUUUACUGGGUGUAAAGGGAGCGUAGACGGCAGCGCAAGUCUGGAGUGAAAUCCCAUGGCUUAACCAUGGAACUGCUUUGGAAACUGUGCAGCUAGAGUGCAGGAGAGGUAAGCGGAAUUCCUAGUG
rnacentral:rRNA from 1 species